UACAGAGGUCUCAAGCGUUGUUCGGAUUCAUUGGGCGUAAAGGGUGCGUAGGUGGCCUGUUAAGUCAGGGGUGAAAGACGGUAGCUCAACUAUCGCAGUGCCCUUGAUACUGAUGGGCUUGAAUGAACUAGAGGUAGGCGGAAUGUGACAAGUAGCGGUGAAAUGCAUAGAUAUGUCACAGAACACCAAUUGCGAAGGCAGCUUACUAUGGUUUUAUUGACACUGAGGCACGAAAGCGUGGGGAUCAAACAGG
rnacentral:rRNA from 1 species